CCUAACUAGGACCCCGUUGGGGCACUGGCGGGCCCGAGCCGUGUCGCGUCCCCCCCCCCCAACGUGCUGCCUCCCCGUCCCAUUUGUGUCCUCUGGCCAUCGCCCUCUCUGGUAACGCCCAUCACUGCAAAGACCCUUUUCCUUCAUCGGCGUUUGCUGUUCUUCCUGCCAGUGCGUGUUGCUUUCACUUACACUUGCCACAGCCAGCCUCGUGAGUGCCUAGCCUAUUGGAUAUCACUGUCACCUACACAGGACAGUCAUUACCUUUCUAUUAAUACUUUGUGUUUUAAUUUCACAUUAAUUUCCAUAUUGUAUAAACGACUGGAAAAAACUUGAGCCCCUGCCCCUGUAUAAUCAUGUGCAUGUCUCUGUUCUAGCUCCAAGGUGAAUCUUCACUGCUCAUGUUCUCCUCAGAAGCACUCACCUCACUCCCCUCAGGUUACUGUACACAUGCACCAACUGCCUGCUUCAGGUUUGGAUGGAGCUUCAUGGUUGUCUUUUGGAGAAAUGAGCAGUCAAGUUGUGUUUGAAAUUUGAUUUUUUUCAGGGGCAAAAGGAGCCUCUGCAUUCUUGUCAAAUAUGUAAAUAGCAUGUUUUUGCAGGUGCUAAAAACCAGACUCUGAGUGUGUCUGUGUGUGUGUGUGUGUGUGUGUCUGUGUGUGUGUAUAUAUCUUGCAGUACUCUGAGAAGAAUAAUAAGCAUAUUUCUGCGGUGAAUUUUGAAGAUUCAUCUGAGAGUUAGGAGGGCUGAUCAUUCCCUGACCCUUUAGAUGUCUGUCUAUGUCUGUUUUUGUGUGAUAAUGAAAGAAUCCCAACUCAAAAAGGCUCUGCUGAUGUUUUUUUUUGUUGUUCAUUCAUAUUCAAACCACUAUUUUAUAUCACUGCUAAUACGCCAAGACCAUUUUAUGGUAUUUAGCUUUAUUAUUUCUAUACAUUUUGCAAGGAAAGAAACCAAGGCCUUCACUAAAAUUUCCAUAAACUUUAGGAAAGGACCUCUGGUUGUUUAAGGGGGUCAUUACUGCAAAAAAAUAUUCUUCCUAAAUUUUGAAGGUCAAACCUUAGAUCCAUUAGGUUUAAAUAGAAAAAGCAUUAAAAUAUGUUAGGAUUAUAGCAUAUGACAAAUGUGUGCCUCUCAGUGGCAUAACUACUUUGUCUGCUGGCUCUGCAGUCGAUUGACGCUCCCCAGCGUUCAAGUCACAUGACAUAUUUAACCGGAUGUAGCUUCAAGACGGAGCCUCGUUCACCCUCCGUUUCAACUUAUCUCAAAAGUGAGGACCUCAAACUAUAUACCAGUUUUUAAAUUGUGUUGAUAGGCCAAAUAAAACCAGAGUUAUGAUAAAUUAUGUCCGCGAUACUUUUUUUCUGCUUAUUUUGAUCACGUUCGGCGCUCGAUCACGCUGUAUGAGACAGGAAAACAUAGCAUGCAGACAUUAGCGACAGCUCUUACAGGCGGAAAAGGCAUGCCAAAAGAAAAAAACACACCACAACAUCUCUCCUAUUGGUGGAAAACUUCACCACAACAACCAAUCCAAAAUUAUAUGGUGACUGAUUGACAAGGGGCGGGCGCUUACGUUCUUCCUGCAAUAUGAGAAGGGAGGGAGGAACUCUCAGCAGGGAUGCAGUCUGGGAAACGUAGUUGCAAACCUAGCGACUUUGUUGUUAGAUUCAAUGACUUUUCAGACCCCC